GGUAAUGUCUUAACGGGAGCCCUUAAGUUGCUUCCGGGGGCCGGUGAAUGGAGCUUGCUCCCUGAUUCAGCGGCGGACGGGUGAGUAAUGCCUAGGAAUCUGCCUGGUAGUGGGGGACAACGUCUCGAAAGGGACGCUAAUACCGCAUACGUCCUACGGGAGAAAGCAAGGGACCUUCGGGAGCUUGCGCUAUCAGAUGAGCCUAGGUCGGAUUAGCUAGUUGGUGAGGUAAUGGCUCACCAAGGCUGCGAUCCGUAACUGGUCUGAGAGGAUGAUCAGUCACACUGGAACUGAGACACGGUCCAGACUCCUACGGGAGGCAGCAGUGGGGAAUAUUGGACAAUGGGCGAAAGCCUGAUCCAGCCAUGCCGCGUGUGUGAAGAAGGUCUUCGGAUUGUAAAGCACUUUAAGUUGGGAGGAAGGGCAGUAAGUUAAUACCUUGCUGUUUUGACGUUACCGACAGAAUAAGCACCGGCUAACUUCGUGCCAGCAGCCGCGGUAAUACGAAGGGUGCAAGCGUUAAUCGGAAUUACUGGGCGUAAAGAGCGCGUAGGUGGUUUGUUAAGUUGGAAGUGAAAGCCCCGGGCUCAACCUGGGAACUGCUUUCAAAACUGGCAAGCUAGAGUAUGGCAGAGGGUGGUGGAAUUUCCUGUGUAGCGUUAAAUGCGUAGAUAUAGGAAGGGACCACAAGUGCGAAGGCGAACAC
rnacentral:rRNA from 2 species